AUUGAACGCUGGCGGCAGGCCUAACACAUGCAAGUCGAACGAGUGGCGGACGGGUGAUUAAUGUCUGGUAAACUGCCUGAUGGGGGGGGUUAACUACUGGAAACGGUAGCUAAUACCGCAUACCAUCAUAUUUGCCCAGCUGGGAUGAGCUAGUUGGGGGGGUAACGGCUCACAAAGGCGACGAUCCCUAGCCGGUCUGAGAGGAUGACCAGCCACACUGGAACUGAGACACGGUCCAGACUCCUACGGGAGGCAGCAGUGGGGAAUAUUGCACAAUGGGCGCAAGCCUGAUGCAGCCAUGCCGCGUGUAUGAAGAAGGCCUUCGGGUUGUAAAGUACUUUCAGCGGGGAGGCGUUACCCGCAGAAGAAGCACCGGCUAACUCCGUGCCAGCAGCCGCGGUAAUUC
rnacentral:rRNA from 1 species